CCUUUGAUGAUGUGGCUUAAGGAGGAGAGAGCACAUUCUACUUUAUUCGGGUUCUCUCUAUUUUUUGGGCGGUUUUUAGGUUCUGGUCAUUUUGCGCCUCUUCUCUCUAAUUCUGUCUUUUCUGUCCAAAUCGUGGGUUUACACUAUUUUGUGUUGUUGGUUUACGAAAUGAUGAAAAGUCAUUUUAUUUCAUCUUAAACUUGUUUGGUGUUUAUGAUUGAGCCUUUUUGACUCGAAGUUUGGCCGUUUGGAUUGAAAUGAAAGGAUUUUCAAACACGAAACCGUGAACCGCUUAAUUCCAACUCUUAGAUGAUUCAAUCAAAAACAAGAGUUAAAGAGAGAGGGAACUAGUGACAAGAAAAGAGAGGGGGAGAGAGGGAACUAGCGACUAAAGGAGAGUGAUGGAAAUGGCGAGAUGAAGGGAAAAGAGAGGAAAGAGGAGGAGGAAGGGAGAGAAUAGAGAGAUAAUCACUGAGGAGGAAGAAGGGGGAUGAGGAGAAGAGGGAGGGAAGUAGCUAGGAGGAGAAGAGGGAGGGAAAUAAGGAGAGGGAACUGGCGAGAGGCUUGCUUGGUGGGUCUUCUC
rnacentral:lncRNA from 1 species